CCUACGGGCGGCAGCAGUGGGGAAUAUUGCACAAUGGGGGAAACCCUGAUGCAGCGACGCCGCGUGAGUGAAGAAGUAAUUCGGUAUGUAAAGCUCUAUCAGCAGGGAAGAAAAUGAAGGUAACUGAGUAAGAAGCCCCGGCUAACUACGUGGCAACAGCCGCGGUAAUACGUAGGGGGCAAGCGUUAUCCGGAUUUACUGGGUGUAAAGGGAGCGUAGACGGCAGUGCAAGUCUGGAGUGAAAGGCGGGGGCUCAACCCCCAGACUGCUUGGGAAACGGUACGGCUGGAGUGAAGGAGAGGUAAGUGGAAUUCCGAGUGUAGCGGUGAAAUGCGUAGAUAUUAGGAGGAACACCAGUGGCGAAGGCGGCUUACUGGACUGUAACUGACGUUGAGGCUCGAAAGCGUGGGGAGCAAACAGGAUUAGAUACCCUUGUAGUC
rnacentral:rRNA from 1 species